CUUUCUUUGCUGGCGACCGGCGCACGGGUGAGUAACACGUAUCCAACCUGCCCUUUACUCGGGGAUAGCCUUUCGAAAGAAAGAUUAAUACCCGAUAGCAUAAUGAUUCCGCAUGGUUUCAUUAUUAAAGGAUUCCGGUAAAGGAUGGGGAUGCGUUCCAUUAGGUUGUUGGUGAGGUAACGGCCCACCAAGCCUUCGAUGGAUAGGGGUUCUGAGAGGAAGGUCCCCCACAUUGAAACUGAGACACGGUCCAA
rnacentral:rRNA from 1 species